GAAGGUGGCCUGUGAGGGUUGCUGGAGGUAUCAGAAGUGCGAAUGCUGACAUAAGUAACGAUAAAGCGGGUGAAAAGCCCGCUCGCCGGAAGACCAAGGGUUCCUGUCCAACGUUAAUCGGGGCAGGGUGAGUCGACCCCUAAGGCGAGGCCGAAAGGCGUAGUCGAUGGGAAACGGGUUAAUAUUCCCGUACUUGGUGUUACUGCGAAGGGGGGACGGAGAAGGCUAUGUUGGCCGGGCGACGGUUGUCCCGGUUUAAGCGUGUAGGUGUGUGUUCCAGGUAAAUCCGGUUCACUUUAACACUGAGGCGUGACGACGAGGCACUACGGUGCUGAAGCAACAAAUGCCCUGCUUCCAGGAAAAGCCUCUAAGCAUCAGGUAACAUCAAAUCGUACCCCAAACCGACACAGGUGGUCAGGUAGAGAAUACCAAGGCGCUUGAGAGAACUCGGGUGAAGGAACUAGGCAAAAUGGUGCCGUAACUUCGGGAGAAGGCACGCUGACACGUAGGUGAAGUGAUUUACUCACGGAGCUGAAGUCAGUCGAAGAUACCAGCUGGCUGCAACUGUUUAUUAAAAACACAGCACUGUGCAAACACGAAAGUGGACGUAUACGGUGUGACGCCUGCCCGGUGCCGGAAGGUUAAUUGAUGGGGUCAGCGCAAGCGAAGCUCCUGAUCGAAGCCCCGGUAAACGGCGGCCGUAACUAUAACGGUCCUAAGGUAGCGAAAUUCCUUGUCGGGUAAGUUCCGACCUGCACGAAUGGCGUAAUGAUGGCCAGGCUGUCUCCACCCGAGACUCAGUGAAAUUGAACUCGCUGUGAAGAUGCAGUGUACCCGCGGCAAGACGGAAAGACCCCGUGAACCUUUACUAUAGCUUGACACUGAACAUUGAGCCUUGAUGUGUAGGAUAGGUGGGAGGCUUUGAAGUGUGGACGCCAGUCUGCAUGGAGCCGACCUUGAAAUACCACCCUUUAAUGUUUGAUGUUCUAACGUGGACCCGUGAUCCGGGUUGCGGACAGUGUCUGGUGGGUAGUUUGACUGGGGCGGUCUCCUCCUAAAGAGUAACGGAGGAGCACGAAGGUUGGCUAAUCCUGGUCGGACAUCAGGAGGUUAGUGCAAUGGCAUAAGCCAGCUUGACUGCGAGCGUGACGGCGCGAGCAGGUGCGAAAGCAGGUCAUAGUGAUCCGGUGGUUCUGAAUGGAAGGGCCAUCGCUCAACGGAUAAAAGGUACUCCGGGGAUAACAGGCUGAUACCGCCCAAGAGUUCAUAUCGACGGCGGUGUUUGGCACCUCGAUGUCGGCUCAUCACAUCCUGGGGCUGAAGUAGGUCCCAAGGGUAUGGCUGUUCGCCAUUUAAAGUGGUACGCGAGCUGGGUUUAGAACGUCGUGAGACAGUUCGGUCCCUAUCUGCCGUGGGCGCUGGAGAACUGAGGGGGGCUGCUCCUAGUACGAGAGGACCGGAGUGGACGCAUCACUGGUGUUCGGGUUGUCAUGCCAAUGGCACUGCCCGGUAGCUAAAUGCGGAAGAGAUAAGUGCUGAAAGCAUCUAAGCACGAAACUUGCCCCGAGAUGAGUUCUCCCUGAGACUUAGAGUCUCCUGAAGGAACGUUGAAGACGACGACGUUGAUAGGCCGGGUGUGUAAGCGCAGCGAUGCGUUGAGCUAACCGGUACUAAUGAACCGUGAGGCUUAACCUUACAACGCCGAAG
rnacentral:rRNA from 1 species